GUUUAAUUUUUUACUUAGCUAUUUGUGUAACUCUCCAAAGUACAAUUAAACAGCCUCAUACAAUUCAUUGGUUUCGAUGGGGAUCAGGGAAUAUGAAUAUUCCAUACAGUUGCACAUAUCCAUUGAGUUAAAAAAUGAACUACUCGCACUAGAGUCCAGAUCAGUCAACAAAAGUCAGAACAUAGAGAAUCAAUCCAUAAUGUGUAGAUUACAUAUGGAUGAGAAUGAAAAAAGAUCAUUAGCGGUAAAAGUUGCAACUACCAGGCACUAGUAGGAGAUCCAUACACUUCUUUACGCAACAUAGAGAAUCAAUCCAUAAUGUAUAGAUUACAGAUGGAUGAGAAUCAGUACGAAAUAUCUGAAAAACAUCAUUAGCUGUAAAAGUUUAUACCACCAGCAACUGCAUAGUAGGAGACAUCUUCCAGAACCUUUUUCUCAAAAUUAAAUGGAAAAGAAUGAAAGUGCUUCCUCGAAAAGCAAAUGACAAACUAAGACAGCUAUAUUUGAUUAAGAGCAGGAAAAGCCAGGAAGUUCAAAUAAGUAAAAUAGGAUCUUCAUAUUUUGUACAUGCUUUGUGGACUUGUUACAAAUCAAGACAUGAACAUAUCCAGACUAUAGAUA
rnacentral:lncRNA from 1 species